rnacentral:rRNA from 1 species
GACGAACGCUGGCGGCGUGCCUAACACAUGCAAGUCGAACGGGACCGGGGGCAACUCCGGUUCAGUGGCGGACGGGUGCGUAACACGUGAGGAACAUGACUUUCGGUGGGAGAUAGCCGGCCCAACGGCCGGGUAAUACCGCGUACGACCUUUCGGGGACAUUCCCGGUUGGUGAAAGCAGCAAUGCGCCGAAAGAGUGCCUCGCGGCCUAUCAGCUAGUUGGUGGGGUCAUGGCCCACCAAGGCGACGCCGGGUAGCUGGUCUGAGAGGAUGGCCAGACACAUUGGGACUGAGACACGGCCCAGACUCCUACGGGAGGCAGCAGUGGGGAAUAUUGCGCAAUGGGCGAAAGCCUGACGCAGCGACGCCGCGUGUGGGAUGACGGCCUUCGGGUUGUAAACCACUGUCGGGAGGGACGAAUGCCCCGCAAGGGGAGUGACGGUACCUCCAAAGGAAGCACCGGCUAACUCCGUGCCAGCCGCCGCUGUAAAAC